rnacentral:rRNA from 1 species
GGGUUGUGAGGUUAAGCGACUAAGCGUACACGGUGGAUGCCCUGGCAGUCAGAGGCGAUGAAGGGCGUGCUAAUCUGCGAUAAGCGCCGGUAAGGUGAUAUGAACCGUUAUAACCGGCGAUACCCGAAUGGGGAAACCCAGUGUGACUCGUCACACUAUCAUUAACUGAAUCCAUAGGUUAAUGAGGCGAACCGGGGGAACUGAAACAUCUAAGUACCCCGAGGAAAAGAAAUCAACCGAGAUUCCCCCAGUAGCGGCGAGCGAACGGGGAGGAGCCCAGAGCCUGAAUCAGCAUGUGUGUUAGUGGAAGCGUCUGGAAAGGCGCGCGAUACAGGGUGACAGCCCCGUACACAAAAGCGCAUGUGCUGUGAGCUCGAUGAGUAGGGCGGGACACGUGGUAUCCUGUCUGAAUAUGGGGGGACCAUCCUCCAAGGCUAAAUACUCCUGACUGACCGAUAGUGAACCAGUACCGUGAGGGAAAGGCGAAAAGAACCCCGGCGAGGGGAGUGAAAAAGAACCUGAAACCGUGUACGUACAAGCAGUGGGAGCACAGGUUUACCUGUGUGACUGCGUACCUUUUGUAUAAUGGGUCAGCGACUUAUAUUCUGUAGCAAGGUUAACCGUAUAGGGGAGCCGGAGGGAAACCGAGUCUUAACCGGGCGUUAAGUUGCAGGGUAUAGACCCGAAACCCGGUGAUCUAGCCAUGGGCAGGUUGAAGGUUGGGUAACACUAACUGGAGGACCGAACCGACUAAUGUUGAAAAAUUAGCGGAUGACCUGUGGCUGGGGGUGAAAGGCCAAUCAAACCGGGAGAUAGCUGGUUCUCCCCGAAAGCUAUUUAGGUAGCGCCUCGUGAAUUCAUCUCCGGGGGUAGAGCACUGUUUCGGCUAGGGGGCCAUCCCGGCUUACCAACCCGAUGCAAACUGCGAAUACCGGAGAAUGUUAUCACGGGAGACACACGGCGGGUGCUAACGUCCGUCGUGAAGAGGGAAACAACCCAGACCGCCAGCUAAGGUCCCAAAGUCAUGGUUAAGUGGGAAACGAUGUGGGAAGGCCCAGACAGCCAGGAUGUUGGCUUAGAAGCAGCCAUCAUUUAAAGAAAGCGUAAUAGCUCACUGGUCGAGUCGGCCUGCGCGGAAGAUGUAACGGGGCUAAACCAUGCACCGAAGCUGCGGCAGCGAACGUAUCACUUAAAGCGAUUCAGCGGGUUACGAUUGACGGAGCGAAGCGACGUCAAAGCGUAUACAAAGUCGAGUCGGUUUAAGGAUACGUUCGUUGGGUAGGGGAGCGUUCUGUAAGCCUGCGAAGGUGGCCUGUGAGGGUUGCUGGAGGUAUCAGAAGUGCGAAUGCUGACAUAAGUAACGAUAAAGCGGGUGAAAAGCCCGCUCGCCGGAAGACCAAGGGUUCCUGUCCAACGUUAAUCGGGGCAGGGUGAGUCGACCCCUAAGGCGAGGCCGAAAGGCGUAGUCGAUGGGAAACGGGUUAAUAUUCCCGUACUUGGUGUUACUGCGAAGGGGGGACGGAGAAGGCUAUGUUGGCCGGGCGACGGUUGUCCCGGUUUAAGCGUGUAGGUGUGUGUUCCAGGUAAAUCCGGUUCACUUUAACACUGAGGCGUGAUGACGAGGCACUACGGUGCUGAAGCAACAAAUGCCCUGCUUCCAGGAAAAGCCUCUAAGCAUCAGGUAACAUCAAAUCGUACCCCAAACCGACACAGGUGGUCAGGUAGAGAAUACCAAGGCGCUUGAGAGAACUCGGGUGAAGGAACUAGGCAAAAUGGUGCCGUAACUUCGGGAGAAGGCACGCUGACACGUAGGUGAAGUGAUUUACUCAUGGAGCUGAAGUCAGUCGAAGAUACCAGCUGGCUGCAACUGUUUAUUAAAAACACAGCACUGUGCAAACACGAAAGUGGACGUAUACGGUGUGACGCCUGCCCGGUGCCGGAAGGUUAAUUGAUGGGGUCAGCGCAAGCGAAGCUCCUGAUCGAAGCCCCGGUAAACGGCGGCCGUAACUAUAACGGUCCUAAGGUAGCGAAAUUCCUUGUCGGGUAAGUUCCGACCUGCACGAAUGGCGUAAUGAUGGCCAGGCUGUCUCCACCCGAGACUCAGUGAAAUUGAACUCGCUGUGAAGAUGCAGUGUACCCGCGGCAAGACGGAAAGACCCCGUGAACCUUUACUAUAGCUUGACACUGAACAUUGAGCCUUGAUGUGUAGGAUAGGUGGGAGGCUUUGAAGUGUGGACGCCAGUCUGCAUGGAGCCGACCUUGAAAUACCACCCUUUAAUGUUUGAUGUUCUAACGUGGACCCGUAAUCCGGGUUGCGGACAGUGUCUGGUGGGUAGUUUGACUGGGGCGGUCUCCUCCUAAAGAGUAACGGAGGAGCACGAAGGUUGGCUAAUCCUGGUCGGACAUCAGGAGGUUAGUGCAAUGGCAUAAGCCAGCUUGACUGCGAGCGUGACGGCGCGAGCAGGUGCGAAAGCAGGUCAUAGUGAUCCGGUGGUUCUGAAUGGAAGGGCCAUCGCUCAACGGAUAAAAGGUACUCCGGGGAUAACAGGCUGAUACCGCCCAAGAGUUCAUAUCGACGGCGGUGUUUGGCACCUCGAUGUCGGCUCAUCACAUCCUGGGGCUGAAGUAGGUCCCAAGGGUAUGGCUGUUCGCCAUUUAAAGUGGUACGCGAGCUGGGUUUAGAACGUCGUGAGACAGUUCGGUCCCUAUCUGCCGUGGGCGCUGGAGAACUGAGGGGGGCUGCUCCUAGUACGAGAGGACCGGAGUGGACGCAUCACUGGUGUUCGGGUUGUCAUGCCAAUGGCACUGCCCGGUAGCUAAAUGCGGAAGAGAUAAGUGCUGAAAGCAUCUAAGCACGAAACUUGCCCCGAGAUGAGUUCUCCCUGAGACUUAAAGUCUCCUGAAGGAACGUUGAAGACGACGACGUUGAUAGGCCGGGUGUGUAAGCGCAGCGAUGCGUUGAGCUAACCGGUACUAAUGAACCGUGAGGCUUAACCUUACAACGCCGAAG